rnacentral:tRNA from 1 species
UGGCUCAGAUGGUAAAGCGCCUGCCUACAGUGCAGGAGACCCAGGUUCGAUUCCUGG